ACGGCCAUACCACAUUGAAAACACCGGUUCUUGUCAGAUCAGCGAAUUUAAGCAACGUCGGACCCGGUCAGUACUUGGGAGGGUGACCACCUGGGAACAACGGGUGCUGUUUGACC